rnacentral:lncRNA from 1 species
UUGUGAAGAGGCUUGUUCCAUUUAGUUGCUGAACCUGCUUGAGUGGUUUGCCCUGCUAUCCUGUGAUGCCAGCUGCUGUGUGUUGUGAGGCGCAAUCAGGAAAGCUCUGAAGUGGCAACAUGGUGAGCACAGGGUCACUGCCAAGUACUGGGAGGAGCAAGAGGAUGAGCGUCGGGAGCUCUUGUGUUGGAUCUUUUCCGGGUGUACAUGGGAAGCAGCUGCCAUGUGCCGCCACCUUCCUUGUGUAAGGUCCCUUGUGGUCCCAACCACACCCUGUACCCAGAGAAUGCAGUGACCUAUGAUGAUGUGUGUGUGAACUUCACUCUGGAAGAAUGGACUUUACUGGAUCCUUCACAGAAGAGUCUCUACAGAGAUGUGAUGCAGGAAACCUACAGGAAUCUCACUGCUAUAGGUAAGACAUGGGAAGAUGACAAUAUUGAAGACUAUUUUCAAAGUUCUAGAAGACAUGGAAGGCAUGAAAGAAAUCAUAGUGGAGAGAAACCUUAUGCUUGUAACCAAUGUGAUAAAGCCUUUUCAUGUCAUCAUAGUCUCCAAAUACAUAAAAGAAGACAUACUGGAGAGAAACUCUAUGAAUGUAACCGUUGUAAUAAAGGCUUUCCAUAUCCCAGUGCUCUACAAAUACAUAAAAGGAUACACAGUGGAGAGAAACCCUAUGAAUGUAAACAAUGUGGUAAAGCCUUUGCAUGUCACAGUUCUCUUCAAAGGCAUGAAAGAAUACAUACUGGUGAGAAACCUUAUGAAUGUAGCCAAUGUGGUAAAGCCUUUACACAUCAAAAGAGUCUCCAAAUACAUAAAAGAACUCACAGUGGAGAAAAACCAUAUGGGUGUAGUCAGUGUGGAAAAGACUUUGUAAGUCAGAGUCGUCUUCUAGAACAUAAAAGGACACAUACUGGAGAGAAACCCUAUGAAUGUAACCAAUGUGGUAAAGCCUUUGCAUAUUCCAACAGUCUCCAAAUACAUCAAAGAACACACACUGGAGAGAAACCCUAUGAAUGUAACCAGUGUGGUAAAGCCUUUGCAUAUCACAAUAGUCUCCAAAUACAUAAAAGUACACACACUGGAGAGAAACCCUAUAAAUGUAACCAGUGUGGUAAAGCCUUUGCAUAUCACAUUACUCUCCGAACACAUAAAGGAACACACACUGAAGAGAAACCCUAUGAAUGUAACCAAUGUGGUAAAGCCUUUGCAUAUUCCAACAGUCUCCAAAUACAUCAAAGAACACACACUGGAGAGAAACCCUAUGAAUGUAACCAGUGUGGUAAAGCCUUUGCAUAUCACAAUAGUCUCCAAAUACAUAAAAGUACACACACUGGAGAGAAACCCUAUGAAUGUAACCAGUGUGGUAAAGCCUUUGUAUGUAGCAGUCAUUUUCAAAGGCAUAAAAAAAUUCAUACUGGAGAGAAACCCUAUGAUUGUAACCAGUGUGGUAAAGCCUUUGCAUAUAAAAGUAAUCUCCAAAUUCAUGAAAGAAAACACACUGGAGGGAAACCCUCUGAAUGUAAUUAAUGUAGUAAAGCUUUUGCAUUUCAUAAUAGUUUCCAAAUACAUAAAAGAACACAUAGUGAGAGAAACCCUAUGAAUAUAACCAAUGUGGUAAAACAUUUCCAUAUCUCAGUGGUCUCCGCAUUUAUAACAGAACACAUAGUGGAGAGAAACCCUAUGGAUGUAAUCAAUGUAGUAAAGACUUUGUAAGUCAGAGUCUUCUCCUAGAACAUUAAAAAAAAAACACACAUAGUGGAGAGAAACCCUACGAAUGCAACCAAUGUGAUAAAGCCUUUGUAUAUCAUAGUGAUCUUCAAAUACAUAAAAGAACACACACUGGAGAAAAACUGUAUGAAUGUAAUCAGUGCAAUAAAGCCUUUGUACAUCAGAAUUGCCUCCUCCUAUAUAAAAGAACACAAACUGGAGAGAAACUCCAUGAAUGUUAAUGUAGUAAAGUGUUUAUCUUGAACAUAAAAAAACAAAACCAAAACAAAAAUUUAAAAAAAAACAUACCAGGGAGAAACUUUAUGAGUAUAACUAGUGUGGUAAAAUCUUUGCAUGUCAUUAUCAUCUUUAGAGGCAUGAAUGAAUUCAUACUAGAAGGAACUAUGUAUUUAAUAUGGUGAACUUUUACACAAUUAUAUACUUAUCAUCAUGAAAGAAUUCAAACUGGAGAGAAAUUCUAUGAAUAUGAGCAAUGUGCUAAGGCCUUUGUGUUAUGGUCCACUGAGAUUCAACACUACUCAAGCACCAAGUCAAUGCAAAUGACAAGAACUUAUUUCAAUUAAAUUACUACUGACUGAUCAGGCGCAGCACAAACUCAGGAGCCGAAGUGUGCCAUAAACACUCCUAUCCCUGAGCCAGAAUAUAAAAAAAAACAAAAACAAAAAACAACCCAACUUAUUAGCUUAAAAAUAAAAAAAAAUCUGUGCCAAGUUAUAUAUACAUACAUUUGUCAUCAUUCAGGUUUUAGGGAUAGGGUCUGUACUUAUGUAGCUUAUCUAUGCCAACUGAUGCAGAAUGUAGGUUUUAUAGUCUAACCAAUAAUAUCCAUUUGUUCUUUUGUAUUAGGAACAGUUAUGUUUUGAGGAGCAAGAGACGAAUAACAUAAGCUGUGAUUAGGAAGUGUCAUGUUUAGGGAACAAAAGAUAAAAAAAAAAUGGAAGUAUUUUUAUCUGGUCUGGUAUUUGGAAGUCCCCAUCUCCCCUAGAGCCUGGAGAGAUAAAUUUAGCUUGACCCUAUGAUGAAAUGGAGGCUGAUAAAAUAUCUAGGACAAGUUUCUUUUGAUUCUUCCUAAUGUUUGCAUAUUAUAGUCAUCUUCAAUGACAUAAAAGGAUAUAUAUUGGAGGAAAACCCUAUAAAUGUAAUCAAUAUCAUAAACCUUCUCCAGCACAUAGUUACCUACUAAUACAUAAAAGAACACACACUUGUGAGAAACCCUAUGAAUAUAACCAGUGUGGUAAAGGCCUUUCACAACACAGUCAUCUCCUAACCCAGAAAAGAAUACACACAGAGCUGCCACCCAGCAGGAGCAGCAUGUGUGUGCAGCAUGCUUUUUGCCAUGAUUGUGUACUGGGUCCACCUGGCUUAAGCAGAAGGGAGCUAACCCAGCGUGUGGUUACAGUCAAUGCAGUCUGUCCUAUCCACAAAGUCCGUUUUAACCUCAACUACCUGAGUCAGCUACUGAACAACAAAAAGCAGAGAGUCUGCAUGGUGCAUUUGAGGAACUCAAGGAUGUUGGACAACAGAAGCACUCUAGAAGAGAGAGCUCAUCAAAGACUUGCAGAAGAGAUGCUGAAUACCCCUGACAGUUCUUUGAAGACCUUUCAGACAAGCCCUAUACCCUAGAGGACUAUGAUGUCUCUUUUGAGAGUGGCAUGCUCAUCAUUAAGCUGAGCGGAGAUCUAGGGAACUACACAGUCAACAAGCAGAGCCCAAAGAAGCAAAUCUGGCUGUCUUUCCCCUUCAGUGGCCCCAAGCACUAUGACUGAACUUGGAAGAACUGGGUGUACACCCAUGACAGCGUGUCUCUGUGUAAGCUGCUGGCCAGAGAGCUGACUGAAGCAUUAAGCACCAAAUUGGACUUGUCUUCAUUGGCCUAUUCUGGAAAAGGCACUUGAAUGCCUGCCAAGUUCAAAGACAUGAAAAACAUAUCAGGAGAAGACCCAGCCUCCUUCUGUAAUUGAUUGUCUGGUUUGCCAUGCCUGCUUCUGAGGAUAGUCACACUGUAUGUGACAGCUGUGAAAAAGUGUGUUACCUCGCCCUCUCCCCAAAAAUGCACACUGGAAAGGAACCCUAAGCAUGUAACCAGUGUGUUAGACUUUGCAUUUCUUAGUGGUCUCCAAAUACAUAAAAGAAUGCAUAUUGUGGAGGAGCUAGAGAAAUUACCCAAGGAGCUAAAGGGAACUGCAACCCUAUAGGUAGAACAACAAUAUGAACUAACCAGUACCCCGGAGCUCUUGACUCUAACUGCAU